rnacentral:lncRNA from 12 species
CUAUUAUCACAUACUGCAUGUUGUUUGGAGCUGGGGACUGUGCUUUUAAGGCCAUAAUCUUAUUUUGUUCAGCAUCAUAUAGAAAGGAAAAGGAACCAGGAGACACCACCACAUUUUCGUCUUAUUUUGUUCAGCAUCAUAUAGAAAAGGAACCAGGAGACACCACCACAUUUUCACUAAGGCACUGUGAAAAUGCAGCUGACCUGAUGCCAUUGAGGGACAUCCCACUCAGAGUUUGGGUAUUGGAUCUGUGGAGAGCAACAGAGUCUCUGCUCCUGAAAAAGCACUCAGUGGCCACCAAAAGGUGCAGGAGGAAACCGUUUUGCAGGGCUCAUCUGCAUGAGAAACCCGGGCAGCUGGGAAACACCGACAUACGGCUUGGGGGGAGACCCACGCAGACACUGGAGGAGAAAAAUAUUCCAUACAUCGGCUUUCUAUACCACCACCUUCAAAAAGGAAGCUAA